rnacentral:rRNA from 1 species
UACGGGGGGGAGCAAGCGUUGUUCGGAUUUACUGGGCGUAAAGGGCGCGUAGGCGGCGCAACAAGUCACUUGUGAAAUCUCCGGGCUUAACCCGGAGCGGCCAAGUGAUACUGUCGUGCUAGAGUGCGGAAGGGGCUACUGGAAUUCUCGGUGUAGCGGUGAAAUGCGUAGAUAUCGAGAGGAACACCUGCGGCGAAGGCGGGUAGCUGGGCCGACACUGACGCUGAGGCGCGAAAGCCAGGGGAGCGAAUGGG